rnacentral:misc_RNA from 1 species
GAUGAAGAACGUAGCGAAAUGCGAUAAGUAAUGUGAAUUGCAGAAUUCCGUGAAUCAUCGAAUCUUUGAACGCACAUUGCGCCCCCUGGCAUUCCGGGGGGCAUGCCUGUCCGAGCGUCAUUUCUGCCCUCAAGCACGGCUUGUGUGUUGGGUGUGGUCCCCCCGGGGACCUGCCCGAAAGGCAGCGGCGACGUCCGUCUGGUCCUCGAGCGUAUGGGGCUCUGUCACUCGCUCGGGAAGGACCUGCGGGGGUUGGUCACCACCAUGUUUUACCACGGUUGACCUCGGAUCAGGUAGGAGUUACCCGCUGAACUUAAGCAUACAAUAAGCGGAGGA